rnacentral:RNase_P_RNA from 1 species
AAAGCUUGACAGACAAUCGCUGGCGGCUUCGCGCCGCGAGAGGAAAGUCCGGGCUCCGUAGGGCAGGAUGCUGGAUAACGUCCAGUCGGCGCGAGCCGAAGGAUAGUGCCACAGAAAUGGACCGCCGAUGGCCGAUCCCCGCAAAGUGACGUAGAGCUUCGAAGCUUAUUCCGAUUACUUCACGGGGGCCCCAAUACCUUUUGGGGUUGGCACAGGCAAGGAUGGAACCGUGGUGUAAGAGACCACGAGGAGCAUGGGCGACUCUGCUCCUGGUAAACCCCAUCUGGAGCAAGACCGAAGAGGAACGCGGCAGCUUCGGCUGCAGCCCUUGCCCGGGGCGCGUUCGGGUUGGUCGCUUGAGCCGUUCGGCAACGGACGGCCUAGAUAGAUGAUUGUCGCUUCCAUCCGUGGGAGGGCCGCACGGCCCGUUCUGACCACCGGAAGCACAGAACCCGGCUUACGGCAAACUUUUCGU